UUUAUACAUUCGGGUUCGGGGUUUCGGGCGGCCAUAGCGAAUUUCAGCAAGAUUUUACCCCAGUGAAAAAGGCUUGUAAUCCACAGUGAUCAGCUAAGAUGUUGUUUCACUGGAUUAUUUAAUUGGGCAUAUAAUUGAAUAAUUCUGGAUCAUCUGAGAUGUUAUUUCACUGGAUUAUUUAAUGGAUAGACUUAUUGGGGCAUAUAUUUGGAUAUCUCUGUCAUCAACAUAGAAGAUAUGUAUUGUUCCUAACCAUCUAUAAUCAAUUCUCUAUGAAGUUCAGACUGUCUGCUCUUCCUUUGGAAAUACACAGUUAGUCAACCAACAAAGAAACACACAAAACUUGAAGGAUUCUCUAGUGAGGGCUUAUGGAAAUGAUCUAUGUCUACUCUCAGAAUGGUGAAAGACUAUCAGAUUAUGCAAAGACUAACAGAAUAUCCUCUCUUGGAACACUGAAACAAGAAAAUCAAACAGGAGAUGGAUGGAGGAUUUAAGAAGCACAUAGAUAAAUAUAAUUUCCAACGAAUUUAACCAGUAUUAUCAUAGACUGUGGUUUACAGGAUGACAAAGUAACAGGAUUGUAUCUUUUUUACUGUCAGACACUGACUAUGGAUAAGAUGUACCCAUUUAUUAAACUGAGAUCUAGUCAAAUCAAGUACAAUUGUAUUGAAAAUAUGAUUUUCUGAUAGCAUGAACUCUUUAAGAAUUAAUUCUCACAGACCUCAAAGUAUCUGAAUGUGACUUUUAUUUUUACCAAUUUCUAUUGAAGACUGUUGUUAUGUAUGAGAAGUGUACAUUUAAACCUUUUAUUUUUCAUCUUAUUUCUAUAACCCCUAGAAAUUACACAGAUAUUCAGAUGUUGGAUUUAAUAUUAUUAUUUAACUUUCCUGG